rnacentral:lncRNA from 1 species
GGAUGUUGUAAAAUUUAUAUCAACGCGCAGCAAUAAUCAAUAUAUGUCAUCUUCUUUUUUUAACAGAAUGUCCGGUACCUAAACAACACCUGCUCCCGCUACCACCGAAAAAUCCAACAACUUUAGCAACAACAGGGGAAUCAGCAAGUCUAUCUAAUGGUGAGUAAAGUUAACAUACACCAACAUUUGAAAAAAGAAUAUGACAAAGAGCAACGAUUGGCUAUUUCCUAUAGCUUUGUGGAUAUUUUUCACAUUGACAAUGUCCUUGUAUUGACAACUGAUAACAUAUUUUGUCACAAACAUUUUCUCACAUUUUUUAAUCCUUCAUUUUGAAAAGAAUUACAAAAUAUUAAUGUUUUGUAUUUUGUAUACAAAGGUAUAAUAUCUUUUUAAUUUAUUAACAACAAAAGUAUAAAAAUUAAAUGGUACGGUCACCUUACUGGAAACAUUUACAGAAAAGGCAUCAAAUUUUGAAACAUCGGAAAUGAAUGCACCAAUUCUGAAAGCAACGUCUUAUCGUUCCGUGAUUUUAUAUUGCUUGUCUACAAAAUUUAUAACUCCAUAUACAAGCUUUAUAGAAUAAGGAACCUAACAUGUUUUUUUUUCUUUGACAUACAGGAUUAUGAUAUCAAACACAUGGGUGUAGCAUCAAAAACAAUGUAUCAUCAAAUUAUCUGAAAAAUGGAUCUAAGCCUGACUUUUUGGCUGUUACGGUCAAAUAAUUGAUAUUUGUAUAAAUAUAUUGUUUUUUUUCCCAAUGGCAAAGCCGGACUGUCUUGCAGGUCCAGUCCGCCUUUUCUUUACGAAUUCCUUUAUAUUUUUUAAAUAGUUCAGAUGUCAUGCUUUAACCAAAUAUUGUCUUAAUUGCCUUGACAAGACCGUUUUAGUGUACCAUAAUGUUUAUCCUUAGGGGAUGUAUUACACAUCAUUAAUUUCUAAAUAUUUUGAAACAGUUAUUUCUAAACCCUUCAACCAAUAUAUAUCCUUAGUGUCUACAUGAUACAUUAACAGCAUUUAUGCCGUUUUGACAACAAAGUUUAUCGACAGUUUUGUAGGUAUUCCUAUCGGCAUAAAUUGCGCACCAAAAAUUACUUAAAACUUUACUAAAGUCAACCAUUGACACACAGAUUUGGUUUAAAGUUUUGCUGUACCUGUAGAAACUUCUUCAAACGGGAUAGAUCAUCCUAUAUUUUUGACGAAGAUAUUGUAUACCGAGAUUCGGAAAUUAAGAUUCAAUCGGGUAAACGUAUCAAUUCUUAAAAAGUGUAAAUAAAUUGACAUUCAAGAGUUGCCAAUUCAGCACUGUUAUUAGAUCUAUAAAUUUGAUUUUUGUUAUCAGUAAAGUAAAACCAAACUUAAUAAUUUUGUAAUAUACGUAUGCACACCAUUCACGGUUCUACAAUCUGUCUAUAUCUGUAUCUUAUUAUUGCACAAGUCAAUAUUCAUAAAAUGUUUAUGUCGCAAUCAACAUUGAUAUUUCGAGUCUUCGAAUAAUACUUUGUUGUUAGUUGUAAUUGGAUUUGAACUAGCUGUCAGUAACUCAAGUACUCUGAUAUAUUCCUCAAUCUUUUUGUUUCGGGGGUGUAUAAAAAUCCUACACAUCUGGUCUGUGUCAUUUUUCUAUGUUUUUUUUUCUGCUUUGUAACAUUCUGACUAGUUAAGCUCUUUUCAUCUGAUUUUCAUAGUUUGUUCUAAUGUGGAAUUGUUACGCCACUGUCCUAGGUUUGGAGAGGUUUGGCGCCAGCAAACAUGUUUAACUCUACUACAUAAUGUAUUUACAUGUCCAUUGAUAAGAGCCUUAUAUUCAGUAGUUGUGGUUGGUUGCUGUGCAUCAUACUAGUAUGUUUUUUUUCUUUCAUUGUUGUUUAAAUUAUUUAAACCGUUAAUUUUCUCGUAAGUAUACAUUUGUGAUUUAGGGCCCUUUAUAGCUGAAUAUGUGGUAGGAAAUUUGCUCAUGUUUAAGACCGUACAUAGUUAUCAACUUAUUGUUAUUUGAUCUUUGAUGGAGAGUUAUUUCAUUUCUACCAUAUCCUCUCACUAAUAUAUGUACCGAAGGCACAUUUUUUUUCUGCUGGAGUCAUGUCCGACCGUUUAUUUUUAAUUGUUGAAUAUAUGAAAACUGCUCUAGAUUUCAGAGUCAAACCCCUUACUCAUACAUAUUCUAAAUUGGCCAAGAAUGUUUUGAAAAAAAGAAAAUCACAAAUUUUAUCUGUUGGCGGAGGUUGGAAAAGAGGAGUUUGACCCAUCUCACCGUUGAUAAUUUAAACAGUUCAAGCCCAACACAUCAUUUUUAUCGUUUAAGUAUUCAAUGUAUUUGUAAAAGAUGAUUGAGAGUGUUGAAACAAUUCGUUUGGAGUUUUCUUUACGAAAGUAACGUCUAGAAAUAACCGAGAAACAUGACUUUUAGUCGACCAAAACAGGUCAACUUAGUAGAUUUAAAAACAUGGAAAAUUCCAAUUUCAACCUUUCAAUCGAAGCAAAAUGUUUCUACAAAACAUUGAAUUAGGUGUAACUUUAGUUCGAGCAUUUUCUUUGACGUAUAAAGUUUUUAUAAACCAGGGUGCGCUUCUCAACACUGAUAUUUUUGUAGAAACAUGGUACAUAGUUGGUGGAGCUUGUGGAGGAGUAGUGUUAUUGGCUGUUAUUAUGUCAUUUUAUGUAUUGUAAAA